GAAAGCGUGGCCUAUCGAUCC
rnacentral:sRNA from 1 species